UACGUAGGGGGCUAGCGUUGUCCGGAAUCAUUGGGCGUAAAGCGCACGUAGGCGGCCUGUUAAGUCGGAUGUGAAAGCCCCGGGCUCAACCCGGGAAGUGCAUUCGAAACUGGCGGGCUUGAAUAUGGAAGAGGGUCGCGGAAUUCCCGGUGUAGAGGUGAAAUUCGUAGAUAUCGGGAGGAACACCAGUGGCGAAGGCGGCGACCUGGGCCAAUAUUGACGCUGAGGUGCGAAAGCGUGGGGAGCAAACAGG
rnacentral:rRNA from 1 species